UGAUGCAAACACCUCUUAUUC
rnacentral:piRNA from 1 species